GACGGAGGAUGCAAGUGUUAUCCGGAAUCACUGGGCGUAAAGCGUCUGUAGGUGGUUUAAAAAGUCCACUGUUAAAGGUUGAAGCUUAACUUCAAAAAUGCCGUGGAAACUUUUAAACUUGAGUAUGAUAGGGGUAGAGGGAAUUUCCAGUGGAGCGGUGAAAUGCGUAGAGUAUUGGAAAGACCACCGAUGGCGAAGGCACUCAUACUGGGCCAUUACUGACACUGAGAGACGAAAGCCUAGGGGAGCAA
rnacentral:rRNA from 1 species